UCCGAUUUAUCACCGGCAGUCUCUCUAGAGUGCCCAUCAUUACAUGCUGGCAACUAAAAACAAGGGUUGCGCUCGUUGCGGGACUUAACCCAACAUCUCACGACACGAGCUGACGACAACCAUGCACCACCUGUAUCCAUUGUCCCGAAGGAAAGCACUAUCUCUAAUGCGGUCAAUGGUAUGUCAAGCCCUGGUAAGGUUCUUCGCGUUGCUUCGAAUUAAACCACAUACUCCACUGCUUGUGCGGGCCCCCGUCAAUUCCUUUGAGUUUCAACCUUGCGGCCGUACUCCCCAGGUGGAAUACUUAUUGUGUUAACUGCGGCACAGAAGGGGUCGAUACCUCCUACACCUAGUAUUCAUCGUUUACAGCGUGGACUAC
rnacentral:misc_RNA from 1 species